rnacentral:rRNA from 1 species
UGGGGGAUAUUGCACAAUGGGCGAAAGCCUGAUGCAGCGACGCCGCGUGGGGGAUGAAGGCCUUCGGGUUGUAAACUUCUUUUGCUCUGAACAAGGCAUGCUAAUGGGUGUGUUGAGUGUAGGGGUUGAUUAGCGCCGGCUAACUACGUGCCAGCAGCCGCGGUAAUACGUAGGGCGCGAGCGUUGUCCGGAAUUAUUGGGCGUAAAGGGCUUGUAGGUGGCUGGUUGCGUCUGUCGUGAAAGCUCAUGGCUUAACUGUGGGUUUGCGGUGGGUACGGGCUGGCUUGAGUGCAGUAGGGGAGGCUGGAAUUCCUGGUGUAGCGGUGGAAUGCGCAGAUAUCAGGAGGAAUACCGGUGGAGAAGGCGGGUCUCUGGGCUGUUACUGACACUGAGGAGCGAAAGCAUGGGGAGCGAACAGG